UAUCUUUUUUUUUUUUCUUUUUCUCAGCAUGGCUGUGUAAACUGAUAAUCAUAGCACUCUGGAAUUUGAGGUACAAAUAUAUUAAGUUUGAGGCCAGACUAGGCUCCAUGGUCAGACUGUAUGACAAAAAAAGAAAUAAAUAAAAGGAAAAAAACUUAAAAAAAAAAAGAAACAAAACAUACCAUCCAACCCCUAAUUACAGGAACAACAAAACCCUGUAUUUUGUGGCUAUACACCAGCAUGGUAAAAAAAGGAAGGUAGAUUUUUAUGAGUCUAUGAUUAAAUUGGAAAGCACUAUAUUUAUAAUUUAUAAAGUCUGGCUUUGGAUUCUCGUCUUUAAAUUAUAUUCUUUGGUUUAGCUCUUUUGGAAAUAACAGCCUAUGACAGAGUUGGGUUAGAGCCAAACAUUUCUGCUUGGGAGAUUUCCAACAAUGAAUCAAGACUAAUUAAACUUCAGUUUUAAGCAGCAGAGAAUAUCCAUCUCAGGUAACAACUACUGUGAGACAAUUUGUUCUGUUUAUGUCACCGUCACCUCCCAUACAUACAGUUGUUUCAUCGUAAGUGUGGCCCAUUCCUCAGUGUUAUAAUUUUAACAGUAUGUAUUUAAUCAAAGUUGUAUGGCUUAGGAAACCAUCAUCUCCAGUAUAACAUUUGAAAGUUGAUUUAGAAGGAAGACAUGAGUGGAUAAUUACUUAUUGUUUAAAAAAUGAUAAAGUAACUUGCUUUAAUUUCUAGCACAAAUAAUUAGUCAACUUUAGCUGACAGCACUAUGCAAAAGGCUGGUGGGACAUCUAAGUGGCGAGGUGCUUGUCCAGAAUGGCUGAAGCAUUGGGUUCGAAGCACUGGGGAAAAAAAAAGUUUGUAAAGUAAUUUUAAGAGCUGCUUUACUGUCUUUCAUGGAGUACGUAAAAAUAUACCUGGCACAGCAGUCACAACUUUAUAUGUAAUUUGUCAUGUAGCAAACUUAGUUCAGAGAUGACAAUUCUGUCCCAUCACACCAGGCCCUACCAUCCACAUUUUUAUUUGAGGUCACUGUGUAGCACUAGCUGUCCUGGAACUCACACUAUAUAGACCAGGCUGGUAUUGAACUCCUAGAGAGUCAUCUGCCUCUGCCUUUCACAGGCACCAUGAUGUGUGGAUCCCAUUAUUUAUUUUAUGUAUAUCAGUGCUCUAUCUGCAUGUACACCUGUGUGCCAGAAGAGGGCAUCAGAUUUAAUUUGGAAGUUGAAAUUGAACAAUGGAUUUUAUCUAGUACAUUUUUGUAAAUACCAUUUGUAUUCAUAAUUUAUAUUAUAUUAUUAUAUGCUUAUAUGGGGAGCUUAUAUUUACUGUUAUAUAUUAUAUUGUACUGUUAUAUGUUUAUAUUGUAUGGUGAAUUUCAGAGAAGAAUGUGUAUCACAUUGGGAUUUAAUCUGACUUUACCAAAAAAGAAAAGAAACAUGUACAUGAGCACCAAACUUCAUACCCCAAGAGAUCGUAACAUUACUCAAAUGUCAGAGACUCAAGUGAGAAGCUUGCCCUGCCAGCAAUAUAGCAUAUGUCUACUUCAAAGCCAGUGUUUCUACAUUUUGAGAAAACUCAAAGAAAUAUGAGCUUGGCUAUGAUUUAUACCUAGAUGUUCAAGUAGGUUUAGUAUAAAUCAAUAUCUAAUACAUUUUGAAAAUCAUUCAUUUUUAGAGAUAGAUUUUUCUCUCUACUAUUGGGCAGGAAGUUCUUGAGUUUUGCUUUAAGAUUAAUUUAAGCAAAAAUAAUUCAUAAGCAUACUACUUAUAGUAUAGAGAACACAUCUGAAGAGCAACUAUUGGAAAAAGUCAAUACUAUUGCAUGUAAAAGCAAAACCUAAGAGAUUCAUGCGAAGUAAGCUAAUUGGCCUCCUUAGAUUUUUCAAACAGGGAUUGCUCUGAAAACAGAAGUAAACACUCUUAGAAGAUUUCUUACUAUGUGAAAUAACUGGGAUUACCCCGCAUUUCGGAAAAGAAUCAUCAUUUUCUUCAUUUCCUUUUAUUUUAUGGGUGUGGGUGUUCUGCCUGCAUGCAUGCCUAUGUAGCACAUGCACGCAAUGCCCACAGAGACUAGAAGGGGACAUCGGAUUCUCUGGGACCAGGGUUAGAGAUGGUUGUUAGUUUUUGGGUGCUGGAAACCAAAAUUGUUCCUUUGUAAGAGCAAAAAGCAUUAUAUAUAUAUGCCUUCAUGUCGGUAGCUCAGAGUACAAGAAAGUACAUUUAUUUUUUAAAAAUUAUUUUAUUAGAUGUUUUCUUCAUUUAUAUUUCAAAUGCUAUACCCCAAAUCCACUAUACCCUCCCUCCACCCUGCUCCCCUACCCACCCACUCCCACUUCUUGGCCCUGGUGUUCCCCUGUACUGGGGCAUAUAAACUUUGCAAGACCAUUCUUAACCACUGACCCAUCUACAAGUGUACCACUGGACGUCAUAAGAUUUCUUAGAAAUAUUUGAAAUUGGAAUGCUAGGCUUUCUUGUUUGUUUUUGUUUUAUGGCACAGUCUCCUUAAGUCCCCAGGCUGGCCUUCCUAUGUAACUGAGGCUGAGGGUGACCUUGCACUAAUGGUCAUUGAAAGUGCUCUUUCUGAUUAUGACAUAUGUGUCACCAUGAAUGGCUUCUUUGCGUGAUUCAUCUUAUGUGAAAGCAUAUGAUAAAAGACAGGUGGCAUAUUAUAUAUGAUAAUAUUAAAUGUAUUUUUCUAAACAGUCUUCUCAAGUUGUAGAAAUUCCCUAUGUUGUAGUCAUGGCUUCAAACCAUAGAAGGAAGGUCUGUUCCUGUAUCUAACAGAGCAGAUUUUGAGGCUAGGUGAGUGUUUUUAUAUCUUAGGUGGAUUCUAUUGAUCGCCUUCUGUGUAUUAGAACUAGAUUGGAGGGCCCGAUUUUAGAUCUAUUUUAGAAUGAAACAAAGAGCCAUUAAUAAUAAUUCAUUUACUUUCUCUACUUCUUAUUAUCCAGAGUAUAAUUAGAAUGGAGUAGGAUUCUAAACAUUAGCAGAUGCUUCAAUAGAUGGCAUGUGCAAUUCAAAUGCAAAUAGGCUACCAAUUGGAAAUUUGUGGUUGGUAUUCAGAAAUGUAAUAUUAGAGUUGAGAAGAGAUGAUGGCUAGAAAGUUAAAAAGUGUAGGCGCCAUUUACAUGGUUUUAUUUGAAACUGU
rnacentral:lncRNA from 1 species